CAAUAGCGUAUAUUUAAGUUGUUGCAGUUAAAAAGCUCUUAGUUGGAUUUCGGAUGGGACUUGCCGGUCCGUCGUUUCGAUGUGCACUGGCCAGUCCUAUCUUGUUGUCGGGGACUAGCUCCUGGGCUUCACUGUCCGGGACUAGGAGCUGACGAGGUUACUUUGAGUAAAUUAGAGUGUUCAAAGCAAGCCUACGCUCUGAAUACAUUAGCAUGGAAUAACACGAUAGGACUCUGGCUUAUCUUGUUGGUCUGUGAGACCAGAGUAAUGAUUAAGAGGGACAGUCGGGGGCAUUCGUAUUUCAUUGUCAGAGGCGAAAUUCUUGGAUUUAUGAAAGACGAACUUCUGCGAAAGCAUUUGCCAAGGAUGUUUNCAUUGA
rnacentral:rRNA from 1 species